GCUACUGGCAUUGUUCGUACAAAAUCUCCCGCCUGUCACGCGGGUGACCCGGGUUCGAUCCCCGGCAGCGGCG
rnacentral:tRNA from 1 species